rnacentral:lncRNA from 1 species
UUUAGCCAAGGAGGUGAUCAGUCUUUGAGUAGGUUUCAAAUACAAAGAAGAAGCAGAAUGUAGUGUAUGUAAUCUCAAAUUUGCCCAUUGAUUUCACAGAUUCCUAGGUCCGUUUCUGAGUGCCGCACUUCACUUCAGGAGGGAACAAGACAGAAUAAAACAAGCAUGUAAUAUGAGGAAAUGUGCUGCUUGGUGAGAAAGAAAGUUUGAUCGUUACUGGAG